UCGUGAAUACAAAAUUAAAAAGUGGGCGUUUUCUGAUCUAGAGUGGUUUGAUUAAUUGUCUCCAUAUGUAGAACCCUUUUAAUACGAUAUUCAAAAAAGUUAUGCUUUUUCCGUUAUUUAUUCUUUUUUGAUUGAAUUUCAUGGAUGGUAUUGGUGCACAACUGCACUCAGAAAGUCAAAAUUGAAAGGGUGAGAGAUUGAUUGGUUAUGUUAUUGCAAUAUUAAAAUGUGAACGUAUAAGAUUUAUUGGUUGUAUAAGAUUGCUUUAUUCAUAGUAUUGUUAUUGUUUGUCAUGUUCUGUGACAUUGAUUCUUAUAUGGGUUUGUGUAAUUUCUCUUGAUCUGUUAAUAUGUUUUGCAAUUUUAUAUGGGUUGAUAGAAGUAAAUUUUCAAAUUGGUUUGUGUUUGGGAAUUUUGUGGAUACACUGUUGUUUCAAAAUACAAAAUUAUAGGGUAAUUUUGACUUUCAAGUUUUUUUUUCUUUUGGCUUUCUAUGACUAGGUAUUUGGUAAUCUACCAAAUUCUUCGUCAAUCGCUCGAUUCCUCCAAUUACGGAGAAUUUGAAGAAAGGUGUGUUACAUGCCGAUGGGUAGAAAUUUAUGGGGAAACUUUCAGAUGAGUAAACAGGUAGAAUCUUGAAGCUGGGGUGCCAGAACUGAUGGAACGGAAAGCGAUUAUUGAUGGAGUUAUGGCUGGACACUUCCGUCUAGAGAACGUUUGAAAUAAAUAGCAGAAAAGGAGGAAUAUGAAUAAUUACAAGGAAUGCAGAGCUCCAUUUAGAAAUCCUACACAUCAGAAGCAACAUAUGCAAGGUUGGCCCUUACUGUUCAGAUCACGUUCUUCAGAGAAACACAAGCCAAGCCAAGCCACGGUGUUCGGGUACCCACUGUUUUUCUUACCCUUUUGCUGCCACAGUUCCAAGUCAUCAAGUCCGAUAAUAUAUUGAAAACUAGCUUCUCCAUUGCCAUCUUGCAGAUAAACAAAAUUUGAUUUUCAAGUUGCAGCUUUUCAGUCUAGGUGCAUUCCAAUCACUUUGCGUAUCAGAAGGUUCCGAAACCGUCAAAGAGAGAACUUAUUCAAACGGAAUCACUAUUCAAUGUAAAGACGAGGAAGAAAGUAGCGCCUUUCAUGGUGCAUUUGAGCAAUGGAAAAGUAAAGCGGUUACUCAAGGUAUGUUAAUUUAUGCUAACAUUAUCAUGCAUUAAUGAUUAAUGGUACCAUUUCUUUUAACUUUAGUAAUUCCUUUUAUCUCAUAUUUACACCCGGUGAGAUAAAGCGAAAGAGUGAAAAGUUUAACCACUGCCGGAUGUUAAUACCACAUUAUCAUGCACUCUUAAUCGACCUGAUUACUUAUUGUUUCUUUCUACAUGAUCAAGUUUACCAAAUGGAAUGGUUUCUUCUUCUAAAAGCAAGUUUGAUGAUAAAAUAGAAGCAUCUUCUGCUAAAAUGUAUUUCCAUUACUACGGGCAUCAGCAAAAUAUGAUGCAGGAUUAUGUGAGAACAAGUCAAUAUAUAUCGCUUUCUUUUUCUUUUUUGAGUCGCAUUGUGCUUAUUAAAGCACGGGUCAAAUGAACACAUUUGGGAUUUUAUGGAGCUGAAUUACACGAUAAAUGUUUUUUCUAGGUUCCUACUAUGCUGCGGCGGUUAUUGAGAAUAAAGUCAAUAGCUGGUGAUAUUUUCAAGUUGUUUUAGUAUUUGUGUAGUCUCGGUAAACUUUUGUGAAUACUUGGUGGUUAACUUAUAAACUUUAUUAUUUAUAGUUUUGAAUGCAAUUUUGUUAAAAUUACAAAAUUGAGUCUAAUUUCAUUUUUUCCAAGCAACUUGGAGAUUAAUCACUUAAUCAGUUAACCAAGUUAAUUCACUAUUCGUGAGUAUUUUAUUCAUAUAACUUCAAGCCUUUUACGACGUUCACCUGUCAAUCACAGUAAGUGUCAAAUGGGUCGAAUCAGUUAUACGGGUUGAAAAUUUCAACCUGUUCACUUAGAAAAAUAUUAGCUAAUAAUGAGUCAAGUCAGUCAGUCGGUCAAACAAGUCAAAUAAAAAGUUCACACAAGUUAAAAUUUCAACUAGGUUAGUUAUAAGUUGGUCAUUUUUUGUUAUGGGUUUUUUUUCUAUAAAACAUGUCAAGCAAAAUAGAUUAGCAAAAGCGGCAACUUAAACAAGUCAAAACAGUUCAAUCCAGCCCUGUUUCAACUUCCACUAAAGUUAGCUUUUUUGACCCAUUGUCCAACUGUACCCAGUUUUUCACCUCUAGAAACAGGUAUUAGUCUUAUGUGCCCUUGAUUAAGUUAAAGAAAUAUAAACUAAUAGAUUAAGAAAAAGAGUUCACCAUAUGACCUUUUACACACUCCUUGACUAUGAACUCUUUUUUAUAUGUUGAUAUGAACUAUCGAGGCCUACCAAUCUUCAAGAUUUGAGCAUAUUUAAAUGUUUUCUAACAAUGGCUGCACUUCUUCAGAUAAUGCAAAUCACAAGGUAUGAGGAAUCAAUUCUUUUAGUAAUGAUUUAAUCAAGAACAAGUUAAUAUUUUAUAUGAAUGCCCCUAAUUUAGUCAUGUUUCAUUUUAACUUUUAUAUAAAAAAUAUUACGUUUAUUUUGGUUUACAACAGUGAUAUAAUAUUUUGCUAUCAUCUUGAUGAUGCAUUCAAGGGAACCAAUUUUGAUGUAAAGAGCCCCUCUUUUCUACUGGUGACUUUCUACGUACAUGACCUAUUGGUCACCGGGUUCAAGUCAAAGACAUUCCCCCGUCAGUCCCGCACUCUCGGACGCGAUUUUCGAUUGGGCCCCGGCCGCCGCGCAAGCUGACUUCCGCCCGGAAACCAUACUGCCCUCACACGAGAGACUCGCUGGGGUAACAGCUGGGUAAAACCGGGUUGCCCUCAAGACCGCACCAUGCCUCGGUAGAAUACGAUCUAUCAUUGGGACCACCACAUAAUGCCACAACUGGGAUCGAACCGGAGACUGGCACAACCAAACCCCAUGGGAUUACCCAGCUGGGCUGGGAGGAGGUAAACUCUCAAUCUCAAGUUGGUAAAAGGUUGCAUCAACUGAAAGAGAAAAUCCAAAAAAAGGCAAAAUCAACCAUACAUUCAACUUUGGGUUAGGAUGGGUAUUAUUUUUGUAGUAGUUGGGUUGGUUAACAAGAAUUGUUAAGAGGGUCAAGAUGGGUAACUUUAAAAAAUAACAAAAUAACAUCGUGGGUCAGGAUGGGUUUCUCUGGGUAAACCCUAAAACCAGCGCAUUCUUCUUUUGUCUCAUCUCCCACGCCCAAAUCACCACCAUCCUACAACCUCCAUUCCACCAUCUUCGACCAACACAACUCCGGCCUCUCAACCAACACCGUAUUCGGAGCACGCCUAAAUCACCAUAUUCCGACCAUCAACCACCGCUUCUGCUCAUGACCAUCGCCGCCAGCCCGCCGCUCACCUCAAACGAUCUGGAAAGGUAUAAUCGAUCACAUUUUUAUUUCAUUUUUCUAAUUUUAGCAGCCUUUUUUUUGUUAAAUCUAUUAAUCUGAAAUCAGUUCUGUAAUUGCUUAUGUGUUUGCUUUUAUUUGCGAUUCGUGUUUGCUGAACUUUAGCUAGUGAUUGAGCAGAUUAUUAUAUUUUGAGUUUGUUAACUUAGAACUGUAUACUUCAAUGAGUACAUACUUGUUUGAUUCAUUGUUGUUUGUUAUGUUUGUGAUAUAAUUGAGUUUUGUUUGGUGAAGAAAUUAUUUUUUGGGUCGGGUGUCUAUCUCUAGGGUCAUAAUGAAAUUAUUAAAUAAAUUUAGUUUAUAGGUAUACUAAUGAAUCUUAAACCCCUCUCUGGGUCAUUAGGUUGCAUCAACUGAAAGAGAAAAUCCAAAAAAAGGCAAAAUCAACCAUACAUUCAACUUUGGGUUAGGAUGGGUAUUAUCAGUAACCCUAAAAAGAGUUACGCCUCCGUCAUCUUCUCCAUCCUGAAACCCUAAUUUUUCUUGGUCACACAUCACUACAAGCCAGAUCGUUUGAGGUGAGCGGCGGGCUGGCGGCGAUGGUCAUGAGCAGGAGCGGUGGUUCAUGGUCGGAAUAUGGUGAUUUAGGCGUGCUCCGAAUACGGUGUUGGUUGAGAGGCCGGAGUUGUGUUGGUCGAAGAUGGUGGAAUGGAGGUUGUAGGAUGGUGGUGAUUUGGGCGUGGGAGAUGAGACAAAAGAAGAAUGCGCUGGUUUUAGGGUUUACCCAGAGAAACCCAUCCUGACCCACGAUGUUAUUUUGUUAUUUUUUAAAGUUACCCAUCUUGACCCUCUUAACAAUUCUUGUUAACCAACCCAACUACUACAAAAAUAAUACCCAUCUUAACCCAAAGUUGAAUGUAUGGUUGAUUUUGCCUUUUUUUGGAUUUUCUCUUUCAGUUGAUGCAACCUAAUGACCCAGAGAGGGGUUUAAGAUUCAUUAGUAUACCUAUAAACAAAAUUUAUUUAAUAAUUUCAUUAUGCGACCCAAAAAAUAAUUUCUUUCUAUUAGAAUUGGAUACCAGCAGCAAUAUGAAUAGGGUUUGAAUAUUUCUCACUGGAAGCGGUUAAUGAUCCCAAUUUGGGGCGAUUUAUUUGUAAAUUUUGUUGGUUGAAUUAAAAGCUCAACUUAAGACAAACAUGAAACAGGUGAAUCAUUAUUAUCCUACAAAAGGGCUUGUUUACUGAUCCAUAAGUUUAGUGGGAUCAAGUUGUUUGACUGUUUGCAAAUUACAAUGAAGACUUUUAGGGUUUAUGAACCGGAUUAACAAAUUAGGGCAUGUUUGGCUUAGCUUAUUUAACUCAAAAAGGACUUUUUUUUUAAAAAAAAUGAUUUAUUGACUUAUGACUUUUUGAAACGGAGUUUUUUAAAAGUGUUUAGAUUAGCUUAUGGGAGUUUGGCUUAGUUUAUUCAUGUAAAAUGACUAAAAAGGACACAUAUAUAUUAAAAUGACAAGUUAAUGAACAGUAAUAAUAAUAAUAAAUAAAUAUUAAAAAUUUCCUAUAUAAAAAGAGAAAAUAUAAAUGAAUGAAUAGUAUUGGGUACCAGUACCGGUAUCAACUUUAUCAAACUCAGUGUAUUUUCGGUAUCCGUUCGGCACUGGUAUUCAUCGGGUUUUACUCUCAAAUACCGG